GUUAUGAAGAGCAAUAAAGAGAGUGCAUAAGAGCACUGAGAAUGGGAACAUGGAGGAAAACCCCGCUUGUUUGCUUGGGCGCUUUCUUGAUGCCUCUCAUUCCUAUCGUUCUUGUGCACUCCUUCCUCUUUCGUUUGGCU
rnacentral:pre_miRNA from 2 species